UAUAUACAUUCCUUUAUUAUGUCAGCCUUUAUUGAUUCCACUGGGAGGCUAUUCCUGUUAUAUACUACCUUUUCAGUCAAAGGGAGUUUUCCACAUUUUUACCUCACUCUUCCAUCUUUCAACUUAAAUUAAGGAUGUAAGGAUGACAAACACAUUCAAACUAUAAAGAUUACUCAAAUUGCUUAGCCAUGGUUUAUGUAUUAAUUUUUCAGGUUUACUUUACUUUGCUAGACAACCAUCACAUCAUUUAAAUUGUAAUUUAAGACAAAGUUAGGCAAAGAGAAGACACUCAACAAUUGUAGAACCACAGCCCCCACGCCAGCCCUCAAGGCUGACAAAGCAUCAUGGGAGAUGUAAUUCUACUUCAACUGAGAAUCUAAGUGUAAUAUCUCCCUGUAAAAAAGGCCUUAAAAACGCUAGUUACCUGAGGUGCUUGCACAUAAGCAAACAAUAUUGCCUUUAAUGCUUAAAGGGCACUUGCAAACUCUUAUUUGCACAGUACCCAUCUUUUAAAGUUAUCUGACUACCAAUACGCAGGAUAUUUAAUAUAUGUUUAUGUAUCCCUAUAUUUAACAAAGAUGUGUUGAAGACCCCUGAAAACAAAUGUAGAAAUCCUCAUCUUUUUAUCCCGCAACUGGGUGCCUCCAUCUUGGCUACCUGACAAUCAUUGUUAUAAGUGCUGUACUUUACACCUGGCAGUCAACAUGUUUUGAUUUCUCCAACUCAUUUUCAAUGGUGCCUUGGUUAUGCCUGGACUCUACUGGAUUGUAAUAUAAUUUGCUAAAUUUUUAAUAGAAAUUUUGAAGGAAAGGAAGCAUUGCAUUAAAACAGGGUUGACACAAGUUAUAGGUGACUUUCUAUGUUUUAUCCAGUGGUAUCGUAACCAUUCCCCGUUAACACGUACCACAAAAAUGUAUGCAAAGGGUCUCUUGGUAAACUGGAAAACAAAUGCUAGUACUACUGUAAAUGUUAUCUAGUAAUAGCUGCAUAGUAGUACAGGCUACAAAAAAAGUCAAUCGAGCCUUAAACGCACAUUUGCAUCUGCUACUGACCUUAAAAAGGCAAAAGAAAACGUUUAAUGGGAGUUUUAAUAGUGCCACAAAAUGGGGGAAAAAUCCUUGAUUACUCAAAAAUGGCAAUCCGAUUUUUGUUCAAUCAACAAACUGAUUAUACACAAAAGGAGUAUAUGCUUGAUUUUGUCACACUGUGAAUUACAUUUUUAAACAAAAAACAUUUGCACAAUCAAUCAACCUUUUUGUUUUGUUUGAGGAAAUCUCGGCAGUGACUUAAGAAAUGUGGGUUUCGUUUUUACAAUAAAUGUCAAGGCUUCUCUGUGCCAAAUAAACGGAUCAGGUGUCGACAAAAUGGGUGCCAGAAUGAUAAUAAACUCCAUUAUCUAGAGACGGCUGUGGACUGGCUGUUGAUACUGUGAGUUGUAUUUCAUUAAUUAAUUCAUGCAAAAAGACAAGUUGGCUACCCUUGAUUAAAUCAUGAAUUUCUCUAUGGGGAACCCAGUUUUGAAUACGUUUGUAUUUUUGGAUCAAAGGGACGUCGUUCUAUAUUGUUUUAAAAUAGCGUAUUGCGACAUAUACGGGUAGGAGUACCUGGAAUGUCGGUGGUGACUUUACGUAACAUUUGCACUUUUUGAUUGUAUUGAAUUAUGCUUAAUAUGUAUUUAUUUUAAUCUGUAUUUUUGAUUAACACUGUAAUUGCUUUUAAUUUAACUGGGCUGUGACUCCUAUUUGACCGAACAAGCGCUGAACACAUUCACGCGUACGCACACAGUGAUGUCUUUGGACUAAAUUCUGUUACAAAAAAGGCAAGCUUUUUUCUUGUAAUUGAAUAGCAUUUGUUCCAUAGAAGGCAAUAGGACGACUGUUAUUACACCACAGAUCUAAUAGAAUCCAGCACCAUAUGAGAAGUAUUAGACAUAGGUUUAUCUAUGUGUUUUAAUAAAUUUAACACAUUUUUAGUUAGAAAUACUGAAAAUAUGUUUUAUUUGACAAAUAACUGAAAUAUAAAAUUAUUCUUUUAUGACUCACAUAAACAUAAUGGUGAAUGUUAAUUAUUUCUCUAAUUUGUUUUUAUCAUUGAAUUAUUCUUUAUUACUCGUGACUAAGUUUAUUCAGUAGGUUAUAUAAAUUAUAGAAACUCUAUUUGCCAUGGUGUUUCAUACAGUGAGGCUGUAUGACAAAUAUAUUUGAAAUGUACUAAUUUGCCUGACUGUGCCAGGAAAUGGGGAUAAUGCAUUGUUUAGCAUGGAAGGUCUCAUGAACCCGUAAUUUAAAGAAUGUCCAGAGGAGGGUGCUAUUAGGAGUGGAACGUCAGCUCUGUCAAUGCACUGAUGUUACUGUGAAAAUUACUUUGUGAUUAUGAUAUUUCUUUGUAUAAAUAGAGUAAUUAAGGAGAGUAUGCUCACUGAAUGCAUUAGGAACGAUGACAAGGGGAAUAAUUAAGAAUGUAAACAAUAAAAUAAUGGACUAUUAUUUGUGUCGUUUUUUUUUUCUAUAAAAUGUUGCUGAAUAGUUAGUGGCGUCUGUUUUUGUGUGACUUGUUCAGUAUAUCAUUAUUACAAUAUUGGGAUCUUAAAGGGACACUCCAAGUACUAAAAGUGCAAAAAUGCAUCAUGCAUAAAAUUGUCUCAUUUUAUUACAGCGCAGCGGAAUUUGUUGGCGCUUUAUAAAUAACAAUCGCUUUUUAACUCCGAAAACUUCUUAUAAGCCUUUCU